ACUCCUACGGGAGGCAGCAGUAGGGAAUUUUCCACAAUGGGCGAAAGCCUGAUGGAGCAACGCCGCGUGCAGGAUGAAUGCCUUCGGGUUGUAAACUGCUUUUAUCUGUGACGAAUAUGACGGUAGCAGAUGAAUAAGGAUCGGCUAACUCCGUGCCAGCAGCCGCGGUAAU
rnacentral:rRNA from 1 species